UGCUGCAGAACUAAUCCAGCCUCUCUGACUGUGAGUCCCAGCAACUCUCAGUUCUUUAGCUGGUCGUCUGUCUAUCUGAGCUGUGAGGACGACAGCUCUGCUGGAUGGACUCUGAGGAGGAACACAAGUGAUAAAACCGGGACUCAGCAUGAAGAUGGCUGGGGAAAACCUGCUGGUUCUUCCUGUAACAUCAGCUCCGUGGUCCCUUUGGACAGUGGAGUUUACUGGUGUGAGUCCAGAGAGGGAGCGACCAGUAACAGCAUCAACAUCACUGUCACUGGUGGACCAGUGAUCCUGCAGAGUCCUGUCCUCCCUGUGAUGGAGGGAGAA